UUCCCCAGUUCAAAUCCGGGUGUCGCCU
rnacentral:tRNA from 1 species